rnacentral:lncRNA from 1 species
AAUAUCUGAGAGACUGGGUAUCUGGGAAGCUUGCACGGAAAAUUACAGCCCUCAGGCUGAAGCACCAAAGUAGGACUUCUCAAAGGCUUCCCCAAAGAUGCUGCAAUUCUGAAGAGAUUCUCAGAACUUCCUACAAAUACCAGAGUGUUCCAAAGUAAAAUGAAGUCUGGCCUGGGCAAUACAACCACUGAAAAAGAAGGCAGUGCUAGCGUUAUGGAACUGGAGAGUAGUGGGGAAACGUCCAGAAGUAUAAACACACAGCGCCUCCAUUGGUGGACACCAGGCAGCCAUUUUGUGCUGACCUUCAACGCAACAGACCCAAGGAGUUGUACACGACGCGAAUCAAGCCAAAUAAAUUAGGAAAGUUUUCAUCAACUUUAACUCCGUCAGAAAUAAGCCAAAUUUGGUCUGGGUCCCACUAAUCAAAAGCACCAAUCUGAAGAAGAAGAACCUAACAAUAAGUAAAAAGAAAAUAGAUAAAAAACAAAGAGCAAAAGAUCUGACUAGAAAAAUGCCUUUUGGGUCUCUCUGACAAUCUUAAAUACACCUAUCAUCUGGGCCGCGGAUUGAACUCAGGUCCUUGCACUUGCAAGGGAGGCGGCAG